AUGAAGGCAUGUGCCACCACAGCCUGGCCUCUGGUCCUGGCCCCCUUCUCUUAAAGUCUUACCACCCAUCUUCCCUUGUGCAUCAGGGCUGUGCUGCAGAUGUAGCAAUCAAGGCCGGGCACGCCACAGUGACAUUCUCUGAUGUUUGACUAGUUGUGGAUCUCUGUGAUUGCUUCUGUCUACUUCAAAAGUGGUUUCUUUAAUGAGGAGUGCAGGCUACAUCUUUCUGUGGGUAUAAGUAUUUAAAAUACAGUUGGAAACUAUGCUGAUGUGGGAAAAUGGCAGAGGAUGAUUCUCCUUUAAGAUCUGUGACUUGUUAGAUACAGGUAGUUGCCUGUGUUUGGAGUACCAGUGACAAUCUCUUCCCCUAUUGAUCAUGCCUUACGUUAAUUAGGCAGCUGUUGGUAACCUCACAAACAUAAGUGCCUUUAUUGUAGCGCGAGGGCUAUGCUGUCAGUCUGAUGGUUGUGGUUUUUAGGUAUGGAUAUGAAGAGAGUCCUCAAAAGGAGGGAUAAAAGUGGUGGGAAUAUCUUUUAAAAUGUGUCCAGCAUUCUUAAGCAUCAGGGAAGUCCAAACUAAAAUCACUUGGAGAUUUCAUCUUUUGCCAGUCAGAUGGCUAAGGUCAAGAACUCAACUGACAAUGGUGGUAGUGAGGACUCAGGGGAAGAAGAAUAGUGGGUGAGGAUCCAAGUUGGUGGGAUUGCAAGCUGGUGCAAUUCCCAUUAUUUCUCAAAACGCUAAAAAGAGAUCCAUUUAAUGGCUCAGAGAUAGCAAGGCUUGACAUAGGCCCAGAGGCCUUGCCAUCCUGCUGCAAGAUACGUGCUCAGCCAUUCCCAUUACAGCAUCUAGGAACCAGAAACGAUUUAAAUGUCCUUCAAGUGAUGCAUAAGUGAUAUAAAUGUGGCAUGUGUGCACUGCGGAAUAUUAUUCAGCUAUAAAGGAAAAUGAAAUCAUGAAAAUUUCAUAUAAAUGGAUGAAAAUGGGCAGUAUUACAUGAAGUGAGGUGACCCAAUACCCAGAAGGAUAAACACUGCAUACGUGACUUUACUAUGUGAGACUCCCAGCUCUGAGUCUCACAUUUGGGUACCUGACCAGAUGCAACCUCAGAGGCCAGGGAAGCAAAGGUACCAUGGGAAUGUGGGUGGGGAUCUCUAAAGAGGGGGCUAAUAGGACACAGGUGCUUUGAGAGGAAGGAAAGAAAAAUGGGGUGAGUUGGACAAAACUAUGAAGGGAAGGGAAGAAUGGUAUUGCAGAAGAAGUGGGAGGAGGAGAAAUACCACCAAAUACACUUGAAAAAAUGGGGACACAUUAUUUUAUAAGCUUACUUAAAAUACAUAUAUAAUAUGUACAUAUAAGUGUGUAUGCAUGUAUCUGUAUGUGUGUUGGGGAGGUUAAAGGGAGUUAUGCCACACAAGGAAAUAAUGCUUCCCUCCGGCUCAUAGACUAUGCAACAAAAGUCCCAAGGCCAGGCAUAGAGGACUUUCUUCAACUUUUCCAUUUUGCAGUGUCACAUGUUGAUCAUCUGACGAACAUGGUGCUAUUAAUGUAAAUUGAAAGUCAAUAAAAGAUUUUGAUACUUUUAGAGGCAAGAUGUGUUCUUUAAUUUUCUUUUUUCAGUUCUGGGAAUUGGACACAAGACCUCAUGCAUGCUAGGAUCUGGAUGACAUCUUCUUUAGGGAAAAGGGAAAUCUAGUGGCAGCUGAGACCUUUUGGGCCUUAUGGUGGAGACUUCCUUUGAUAUGCACAAAGGGUAUAACACUAAACGCCUUAAGAAAGUUCUUAUUAAGCAAGUUGAUGAUCGUCCAAGAGAACAGCAUUUUCAUUUACUUUGUAUAAUGAAGACGAUGCUGCAGAGUGUAUAAAUGCCUCCAUUCUGGCAAUGAUGUGUGCUAUAAAAAUGAAAGAUGGCAAAAAUAAUUGUUAUUUAAAAUA
rnacentral:sRNA from 1 species